rnacentral:rRNA from 1 species
UACAGAGGGUGCAAGCGUUGUUCGGAAUUACUGGGCGUAAAGCGCGUGUAGGCGGUCUGUUAAGUCUCGUGUGAAAGCCCUGGGCUCAACCCGGGAAGUGCGCGAGAUACUGGCGGACUGGAGUAACGGAGAGGAUGGCGGAAUACCCGGUGUAGAGGUGAAAUUCGUAGAUAUCGGGUGGAACACCUGUGGCGAAGGCGGCCAUCUGGACGUUCACUGACGCUGAGACGCGAAAGCGUGGGGAGCAAACAGG